rnacentral:rRNA from 1 species
GUAGGGAAUAUUGCGCAAUGGGCGAAAGCCUGACGCAGCCAUGCCGCGUGAAUGAUGAAGGUCUUAGGAUUGUAAAAUUCUUUCACCGGGGACGAUAAUGACGGUACCCGGAGAAGAAGCUCCGGCUAACUUCGUGCCAGCAGCCGCGGUAAUACGAAGGGGGCUAGCGUUGCUCGGAAUUACUGGGCGUAAAGGGCGCGUAGGCGGACAGCUUAGUCAGAGGUGAAAGCCCAGGGCUCAACCUUGGAAUUGCCUUUGAUACUGGCUGUCUUGAGUUUGGGAGAGGUGAGUGGAACUCCGAGUGUAGAGGUGAAAUUCGUAGAUAUUCGGAAGAACACCAGUGGCGAAGGCGACUCACUGGCCCAAUACUGACGCUGAGGCGCGAAAGCGUGGGGAGCAAACAGGAUUAGAAACCCCGGUAGUCC